rnacentral:rRNA from 1 species
AUGUUAAAAAUUGAUCUUGCUAAAGCUUUUGAUAGACUUGAGUGGGACUUCAUUGUUCUUGCGCUUACUCGUAAAGGGCUGCAUGCUCAUUUCAUUAACUUAGUGCAUGCAUGCAUCUCUUCUCCCACUUUUUCUGUUCUUAUUAAUGGGCAGCCUUCUCGUAAAUUUAAAAGUUUUCGAGGGAUUCGACAAGGCUGUCCCAUGUCCCCUUACUUGUUUGUUAUUGCCAUUAAUGAACUUUCGAUUGCUCUUAAUGAGGCGCUUCAGGCUAACCAUUUGCAGGGUAUUUCUCUUGGUCCAAGUUGCCCUUUGGUUCAUUCACUUCUAUUUGCAGAUGACCUUUUGGUUUGUGGUCAGGCCACCCAUCAUGAAGCUCAAACUAUGGCAAAUCUUAUUCGGCAAUUUUGU